CCCGGGACUCAUCGCCAUGACGUCACGAUUAACGCCCACAGCGCGUGCCAUAUAUAAGCUUCAGCAUUUCGACGUGGAGCAAAACACGCUCGAACCAGAUCGACAUCAAAAGCGUUCUUCGUAAUAGCGCAAACAUGAGGGGAUUUGCUUUCGUUGCACUCAUCAUUGUGGCUGCGGGGUGCUUGGUGAGUGACGUCAUGGCCCAGUCCACAAUCAGCUGCUCCGCCUCUUUCCAGGCGAAACGUGCAUUUUAUCGGCAGUGCAGAUCUGAAGGAAAACGGAUUUUCUAUGCCGGAGAUGGAAUGACAGCGACCUGCUUCUUGGUGUGCAGAAACUAAUAGCCCUAUCAGGACUUCUCGUAGAUGUCAUCAUCGGAGAGUGGUCUCACCUUGAAGUCAUGAUUAUUCAGAAUAUUCAGGUCAAUAAAUACUGCACAGCUUA